CCUACGGGAGACAGCAGUGAGGAAUAUUGGUCAAUGGCCGGAAGGCUGAACCAGCCAUGCCGCGUGAAGGUCAGUGCCCUAUGGGCGUUAAACUUCUUUUGUGCGGGAGCAAUAAUGGUCACGUGUGGCCAGACGAGAGUACCGUACGAAUAAGCAUCGGCUAACUCCGUGCCAGCAGCCGCGGUAAUACGGGGGAUGCAAGCGUUAUCCGGAUUUAUUGGGGUUAAAGGGUGCGUAGGCUGUGAGGUAAGUCAGCGGUGAAAUGGCCCCGGUGAACGGGGUGAAGUGCCAUUGAUACUGCCUUGCUGGAAUGCGGAUGCCGUGGGAGGAAUGUGUGGUGUAGCGGUGAAAUGCAUAGAUAUCACACAGAACACCGAUUGCGAAGGCAUCUCACGAAUCCGCGAUUGACGCUGAUGCACGAAAGCGUGGGUAUCAAACAGGAUUAGAUACCCCUGUAGUC
rnacentral:rRNA from 1 species